rnacentral:rRNA from 1 species
ACUGCGAGUGAAGAGGGAAGAGCUCAUCAUUGGAAUCUGGCAGUGUUACACUGUCCGAGUUGUAGAUGAGGAGUAGUCCGUCUGGACUGCAUGGCGUCCAAGUACAAUAGGCCGUCAGUGGGACAUCAUAGAGGGUGACAAUCCCGUCCUUGACGCCAAUGUGCAAGUCUAUUACGAUGGCUAUCUCAGAGAGUCGAGCAGUUUGGGAUUUGCUGCUUAAACAUGGGAGGUAGAUUCCUUCUAAAGCUAAAUACAGGCGAGAGACCGAUAGAGAACAAGUACCGCAAGGGAAAGAUGAAAUAGCACUCUGUGAAGGGAGUCAAAAGGCGUGAAAUUGUUGCGAGAGAAGCGAUUCAAGUCAGCGUAGCUAGGCCCAUCAAGCGUCUUCGCUUUGGACUAGCUUUGCCAGCGGUCUUGUCCCUUAAAGAGACUUGACUUGUAAUAUGUCCAGCCUGGCGUGCACAGGCAGCCCCUUCUGGGGGCCAGUGGCAUGGCUGGUGGAAUGGCUUGCAAUCGACCCGUCUUGAAACACGGACCAAGGAGUCUAACAUGUAUGCGAGUAUAAGGGUGGCAAACCCGUAUGCGCAAUGAAAGUGAUUUUCGGUGAUUGAGAAUGGCCUGAUGACCAGACAAGCAAUAUAUGUCCCUCGUACGGCCAUUGCCCAAGUUCCGUGGUAGAUCCCACGAACAUGGAGUUGGAGCAUACAUGCUAGGACCCGAAAGAUGGUGAACUAUGCCUGGACAAAGCGAAGCCAAAGGAAACUCUGGUGGAGGCUUGUAGCGAUUCUGACGUGCAAAUCGAUCGUCUGAUCUGGGUAUAGGGGCGAAAGACUA